rnacentral:rRNA from 1 species
GAUGAACGCUAGCGGCAGGCUUAAUACAUGCAAGUCGUGGGGCAGCAUGAGUAGCAAUACUUGAUGGCGACCGGCAAACGGGUGCGGAACACGUACACAACCUUCCGAUAAGUGGGGAAUAGCCCAGAGAAAUUUGGAUCAAUACCCCGUAACAUAUAGAGUAGGCAUCUUCUUUAUAUUAUAGCUUCGGCGCUUAUUGAUGGGUGUGCGUCUGAUUAGGUAGUUGGCGGGGUAACGGCCCACCAAGCCUACGAUCAGUAGCUGAUGUGAGGGCAUGAGCAGACACACGGGCACUGGGACACGGGCCCGACUCCUACGGGGGGCAGCAGUAAGGAAUAUUGGACAAUGGGCGAAAGCCUGAUCCAGCCAUGCCGCGUGAAGGAUUAAGGUCCUCUGGAUUGUAAACUUCUUUUAUUUGGGACGAAAAAAGGGAAUUCUUUCCCACUUGACGGUACCAAGUGAAUAAGCACCGGCUAACUCCGUGCCAGCCGCCGCAGUAG